AUUGAACGCUAGCGGGAUGCUUUACACAUGCAAGUCGAACGGCAGCGCGAGAAAGCUUGCUUUCUUGGCGGCGAGUGGCGAACGGGUGAGUAAUGUAUCGGAACGUGCCCAGUAGCGGGGGAUAACUGGCCGAAAGGUCAGCUAAUACCGCAUACGCCCUACGGGGAAAGGGGGGAGUCGCAAGACCUCUCACUAUUGGAGCGGCCGAUAUCAGAUUAGCUAGUUGGUGGGGUAAAGGCCUACCAAGGCAACGAUCUGUAGCUGGUUUGAGAGGACGACCAGCCACACUGGGACUGAGACACGGCCCAGACUCCUACGGGAGGCAGCAGUGGGGAAUUUUGGACAAUGGGCGAAAGCCUGAUCCAGCCAUUCCGCGUGAGUGAAGAAGGCCUCGGUUGUUAAGACUCUUUCGGUCAGGAAGAAAACGGUACGUAGUGUUAAUUAACCAAUGGGCGUAAUAGACGGUAACCUGGCAGAAGAAGACACCGGCUAACUACGUGCCAGCAGCGCGGU
rnacentral:rRNA from 1 species